GACGAACGCUGGCGGCGUGCUUAACACAUGCAAGUCGUACGGUAAGGCCCUUUCGGGGGUACACGAGUGGCGUACGGGUGAGUAACACGUGCGUAACCUGCCCACAACUUUGGGAUAACGCUAGGAAACUGGUGCUAAUACUGGAUAUGUGCUCCUGCUGCAUGGUGGGGGUUGGAAAGCUCCGGCGGUUGUGGAUGGACUCGCGGCCUAUCAGCUUGUUGGUGGGGUAGUGGCCUACCAAGGCGGCGACGGGUAGCCGGCCUGGGAGGGUGACCGGCCACAUUGGGACUGGGAUACGGCCCAGACUCCUACGGGAGGCAGCAGUGGGGAAUAGUGCACAAUGGGCGCAAGCCUGAUGCAGCAACGCCGCGUGCGGGAUGACGGCCUUCGGGUUGUAAACCGCUUUCAGCAGGGACGAAGCUUUUUGUGACGGUACCUGCAGAAGAAGCACCGGCUAACUACGUG
rnacentral:rRNA from 1 species